rnacentral:misc_RNA from 1 species
UCACGUCUUACGACGGCAGUUUCAGUAGAGUUCCCAGCGUUACCUGAUGGCAACUACUGAUGGGGGUUGCGCUCGUUGCGGGACUUAACCCAACACCUCACGGCACGAGCUGACGACAGCCAUGCAGCACCUUACUGGCGGUGUAUUGCUACAAAGAGAGCUUUCACCCUCGAUCCCCCAGCAUUCUAGCCCAGGUAAGGUUCCUCGCGUAUCAUCGAAUUAAAGAACAUGCUCCGCUGCUUGUGCGGGCCCCCGUCAAUUCUUUUGAGUUUUAGCCUUGCGGCCGUACUCCCCAGGCGGGACACUUAACGCGUUAACUGCGGCACAGAGGGAUUCGACUCCCCCCACACCUAGUGUCCAUCGUUUACGGCUAGGACUAC